AGUGAACGCUGGCGGUAUGCCUAACACAUGCAAGUCGAACGGCAGCACAGUAAGAGCUUGCUCUUACGGGUGGCGAGUGGCGGACGGGUGAGGAAUACAUCGGAAUCUACUUUUUCGUGGGGGAUAACGUAGGGAAACUUACGCUAAUACCGCAUACGACCUACGGGUGAAAGCAGGGGAUCUUCGGACCUUUCGCGAUUGAAUGAGCCGAUGUCGGAUUAGCUAGUUGGCGGGGUAAAGGCCCACCAAGGCGACGAUCCGUAGCUGGUCUGAGAGGAUGAUCAGCCACACUGGAACUGAGACACGGUCCAGACUCCUACGGGAGGCAGCAGUGGGGAAUCUUGGACAAUGGGCGCAAGCCUGAUCCAGCCAUACCGCGUGGGUGAAGAAGGCCUUCGGGUUGUAAAGCCCUUUUGUUGGGAAAGAAAAGCAGCAGGUUAAUACACCGCUGUUUUGACGGUACCCAAAGAAUAAGCACCGGCUAACUUCGUG
rnacentral:rRNA from 1 species